rnacentral:rRNA from 1 species
GACGAACGCUGGCGGCGUGCUUAACACAUGCAAGUCGAACGGAAAGGCCCUGCUUUUGUGGGGUGCUCGAGUGGCGAACGGGUGAGUAACACGUGAGUAACCUGCCCUUGACUUUGGGAUAACUUCAGGAAACUGGGGCUAAUACCGGAUAGGAGCUCCUGCUGCAUGGGGGGGGUUGGAAAGUUUCGGCGGUGGGGGAUGGACUCGCGGCUUAUCAGCUUGUUGGUGGGGUAGGGGCUUACCAAGGCUUUGACGGGUAGCCGGCCUGGGAGGGUGACCGGCCACAUUGGGACUGCGAUACGGCCCAGCCUCCUACGGGAGGCAGCAGUGGGGAAUAUUGCACAAUGGGCGGAAGCCUGAUGCAGCAACGCCGCGUGCGGGAUGCCGGCCUUCGGGUUGUAAACCGCUUUCGCCUGUGACGAAGCGUGAGUGACGGUAAUGGGUAAAGAAGCACCGGCUAACUACGUG